GAAGAAAUUAAUUGUUUGUAAUUUUAUUAGGAAUUUAAAUUUUGUAAUUGGAAAGAGAAUUUUAGUUGACGAUAGUGUACAGUACUGUGAGGGAAUUUGAGUAGUUUUAGAAGAAGUAGAGAGUUUUGUACCUUUUGUAUUAGGGUUUAACUAAAAUUAAAAGGUUUUUUUUGUCCCGAAUAAUCUUGAGCUAUAGAAAGUAGUUUUAAUCAUUUUAAGGAUUAAAAGAAUUUUUUUAUAGAAAUGAAAUUUUAUUCGAAAGAUUGGUUAUCUGGUUUAAGUUAAAAAUUAUAUAUUUUUGUAUGAUUAAUGUUAUUAUGCAAAGUCAUAGGGUUGUUUCUCUGGGAUAAGCUAGGGAAUAUUUUUUAUAUAAAUAUAAACACAGAAGGAGGUUUAAAAUUUACUUUUUUUGUAAUAGAAAAUUUUUAUGUAUUUGUUUGUAAAAGUUUUAGAUUUUUCAGUUAAUUUUAAAUUGUAAGAAUUUAUGUUGAGAUUAGUAUAAUUGUUAAAUUAGAUUAAGGUUAAAGUUAUGAUUAAGGAGUUUAAAAAUAAAAAAGAACUCGGCAAAGAAUUUUUUGGAAUGUUUAUCAAAAACAUUGUAUCUUGAUAUUAUAAGAUAUAAAACCUGCUCAAUGAUGUGUUAAAUUGCUGUGGUAUUAUGACUAUACGAAGGUAUUGAAAUAAGACUUUAAUUGGGUGCUAAGAGAAUGGUUUAACAAAAAAAGGCUUUUUUUUUAUUUAUAUUAGAAGUUAAUUUAAAAAUGAAAAAGUUUUUAUAAAUUUUUAGGACAAGAAGACCCUAUGAAUUUUUUCAAAGACCUUUCUUGUUUGGAUCUUUGAAAAAAUUCAAGAAAGGUUUUUGAUUAAUUGGGGUGAUUUUUAAAUUUUAAAAAACUUUAGAAGUGUAUUACUAGAUCCAAUAUUAUUGAUGGUUUAAAAAAAAUACUCUAGGGAUAACAGCGUUAUUACUUUGGAUAGUUCAUAUAGAUAAAGUAGAUUGCGACCUCGAUGUUGGAUUAGGAUACCUUUAUUAAUGAAGAAGUUAUAAAAGGAGGUUUGCUCAACCUUCAAAUUCCUACAUGAUCUGAGUUCAGACCGGCGUAAGCCAGGUUGGUUUCUAUCUAAAUUUAAGUUUAGGUUCUUUUAGUACGAAAGGAAUAAGGAAUUGGAAUUGUUUUGUUAAGUUAUGGGUAUUUUGAUGUUAAUA
rnacentral:rRNA from 1 species